GGAUCCUUUGAAGAACGUCCCACUCCUAGCGGACAGGUGGCAACUGAGCGUUUGCAGUGUGGUGCUGGGAAAUUUUAAAUUUCAUACGUGGCUCACAUUCCGUUUCUAUUGGACACCAAUAAUCUCGACAUGCCUUGAAAAGCACAUUCUCUGGAAGCUGAAGCCCCAAUUUCAUACUGUGCUCCAGAAGGAACAGAGUAGAACUGAGCCCAGUUCACAGCCUGGAGCAAAGCUACCCAGCCAAGCCCAGUUUCAAAUCUUCAAACUGCAAUCAACAUGCAGCCCAAAAGGCAUGGAAAUAAAUGCUUAUUGCCUUGACCGCUGAGAUUGGAGUUGUUGUUGUUUUUCCCACAGCAUUAUUGCAGCAAUAGUUGAUUUUUAGCAUGCCCCUCUGAUGGACAUCAGCUUCAGUGUCUCUCCCGAGAGAAAUGUCCCUUAACCCUUUAGAGCAGGUCAGGUCAACUCUGGGCCCCUCUG